AUAUUGAUAAUUUCUGCAAUGAGAUUCUGCAUUGAAGAAGACUCGGCUUCAGAGAUUGAAGAAUUCCAGGUACUCUGCAUUUGUUUUGGCUGAGUGGUUCUAGACUUUCAGCCCCGAUGAAUAAAUCAUCUUCAUCAUCUCAGUAAGCUAAUUGCAGUAAGCCAAAUAUAUAUGCAGUAAGCUAAUGAAGAGGCAAUCAAAAUCUGCUGCUACUAGUUCCAG